AGCAGCCGCGGUAAUUCCAGCUCCAAUAGCGUAUAUUAAAGUUGUUGCAGUUAAAAAGCUCGUAGUUGAAUUUCGGGGUCAGUAGGUCGGUCGUGCCACUGGUAUGAACUGGUUUUACUGAUUCCUCCCUCUUGAAGAACUGUAAUGCCAUUAAUUUGGUGUUGCAGGGAAUCAGGACUGUUACUUUGAAAAAAUUAGAGUGUUUAAAGCAGGCUUUAGCUUGAAUACAUUAGCAUGGAAUAAUGAAAUAGGACGUUUGAUCCUAUUUUGUUGGUUUCUAGGAUUGACGUAAUGAUUAAUAGGGAUAGUUGGGGGCAUUAGUAUUCAAUUGUCAGAGGUGAAAUUCUUGGAUUUAUUGAAGACUAACUACUGCGAAAGCAUUUGCCAAGGAUGUUUUCAUUAAUCAAGAACGAAAGUUAGGGGAUCGAAGACGAUCAGAUACCGUCGUAGUCUUAACCAUAAACUAUGUCGACUAGGGAUCGGAUGAUGUUAAUUUUUUAAUGACUCA
rnacentral:rRNA from 1 species